GGGCCCUCUCGCACACUACCAGGGAGAUGCGUUCCUGCUGUACAGGUGGUGGGAUGCUGCACUCCGGACCAGGCUGUGUGCAAGCAGCGCUUUGAGGGUAGGUGAGGAUGCACAGAGGAGCUGGGUGGCCCGUCCAGCUGUGCUGAAAUGAUGUGAGCCAGUGCAGCAGUAUGCAGGGCAGAGCUGGGGUAACCAAGGAGGAGACUCUUUGAAGAUGACAAAGGCAGAAACCUCACCACCAUCCAACAGGGACGUGCCUGUGAGGAUGUGAGGAAGACAUUGCAGUCAGAGGUUGCACAAGUCACUGCCCCAAACUAGGCUCAGCUUUCUGGGCUGGUGCUCGCCUGUUCCAGCUGAGCGGCUGCCUACCUUUCCACAGGGAAGGCGUGAUGGAUCGGUGGAUCACCUGGAGAACCCCGGCAUCCUGGCUGCGAACAUUUGCCUAAUAGAUGCCUCGGAAACGCAUCCUGGGAGCCAUGCCUCUCUCCUGAGCAGAAGUUGUUUCUCUCCAGUAAGUAUGUAAAUCCAGCACAUUCCCAAGUUCAGGAGGUUUCUGUCAGGCUCCAGAGGUUGCACACUGCCACAGGGGCUGGGAGACCCCAGGCUAAACUCGGGUGCAUCAUGAUAGGAGCAGCAUCGGGUGAAAUAACUAUUCUACAGCACUUGCUUGUAUUACAUGGUAACUUUUUUUAAACAAUCUGUAUCAUGCCAUGAAUAUUAUUAAA